UGGCUCAGUGGUAGAGUGCUUGCCUUGCAUGCAUGAGGCUCUGAGUUCAAUUCCUCAG
rfam:Dipodomys ordii contig_42141, whole genome shotgun sequence.